AGGCGCCUCUGGCUUCGCUCACUUGGCGCCACGUGGCUACCGGGUAAGGGCCUCGGGGCGGCGC
rnacentral:pre_miRNA from 1 species